UACAAAUUUAUGACUAUGCCAUGAUAGGUUACUACAAUAUUUACCAUUGUGAUUGCUGAUGAUGUAUUUAUUAUAAUAUUAUUUAUAUGUCCAGCGAAUAGUCUACUGUUUUAUUUCGAGAGUCGACCACCGCUCACUACAAGCACAGAAUUAAGUGGUCCGUGCCGACGUCCGGGUUUUUCAACAAAUAGACUGGCCGCCGGGUUUUAAACUAUUUAGUUUUCAAAAAUAUCAGGUUACGUCGAAUAGCAGUCUACACAGUAUUUGUUAGUUCUUUCUUCAGUCAAGUUGAUCAAAGAUUUUAAUAUGGCAGUUCACCUCGAUUCGGCUAAAUCAGCCAUCAAAGAUUCAUUAUAUGAUGAAUCUAAACCCUGGUGUAAAUUUUUCGGUUGGGCUGAAGCACAAACAGGAAUCAAUAGACUGAAUUUAUUUAUUGGUUUAGCGGUGUUCCUUGUAUUCUACUUAUUAAUAGGAUAUGGAACCUUGUUAUUAAGUAAUUUGAUUGGCUUUUUAUACCCAGCAUAUGCAUCAAUUAAAGCGGUUGAAUCUAGUGGAAAAGAUGAUGACACAAAAUGGUUGACAUAUUGGGUGGUAUUUUCAUUUAUUACACUUAUUGAAUUACCAGCUGCAAUUUUAUUAAGCUGGAUACCAUUUUAUUCUUUAAUCAAAACAAUCUUUUUUGUGUGGUGUUUUAUACCAAUCAGCAAUAAUGGUUCUGUGGUUGUAUAUAAUAGAUUUAUACGUCCAUACUUUUUAAAACAUCAAGGAGAUAUUGAUCAAGCGGUAAAUGAUCUUUCCAAAAAAGCUACUGAUGUUGCAUUUGAGAAACUAGUUACUGCAAAAGUCAAUUAAAUAAUACAAUUAGUUUUGGGGUUAAAAUUUGUUGAACAUUCAUUAUAAAGGUUUCAUCAAUAAAAUUGAAAAGGGUACAAACAAGAACUAAAUUUGUUUUACAAGUUAUUUUAUUUUCGGUCUUUUAUUAACAGUUAUUUAUUAGAAUAUUACGACGAAAAAUGUUUAGAUUAUCAAUGUAAAGUGUCAUUAUAUUAUAUUUUUAAAUUUCAUUAAGUUUUCUAUUUCUGUAAAAUAUAAUUUCAUAAGUGUUAAUAAAAUAUUUUUAAACCUUA